rnacentral:rRNA from 1 species
CGGGCUUAAUGGCGCCGCCGACCGUGCCUCAAUCGGCCCCGAAGAAGAGGCCCAUGGCAGUAAUAGAAGGGGUCGCUUUCUAGAAAUGUUGGGAUUCCGGAAGUAGCUAGUGCGCCGUACCGACCUAGUCCCAACGGGGGUAACAGGUUCUAAGGGGUGACGACGGAGGGCAUCCUCAGACCCGGCACAGAGUCAGGGUCACACCGACUAGUAGGAGAGUUUGGUCUAUACCUAGCAGCCGAACCAUCCGGUAAUGGGAUGGUUGAUUGAUUAUCGUGCGUCUGGGUAGAUAUUGGUGGGUUUCCGAAAUUGUUGACAGGGGUACGCCCCGGGCGACGUAAUAGCCCAUAAUCGGUGGCAAAGGUUACCAAUAGGGGCACAGUAUCCGUCCAACAGAUGCGCAAUGAGUGGGCACGCGGUCAGAGGUAGGUAGGCUUCUACUUGAAGAGGACGCUGAACGUACACAAUCCGGGCGGCGGUCGCAAGCAGGACUCGGUCCUAGUUUGAGCCCGAUCUCGCCGGCGGUGGGCCCA